AUGGUGGUUGGAUGAAGUACUUUGUUGAUUUAUUGUGAGACUUUAAUUUUGUUCUGGGGAUUAUUGUGCUGUUAUGGAAUUCAUGUAACUAGGUCCAGUUGUAAGCUUUGGAUCCACUAUUUAUGGGUUCAACAGAUGUAGCAUGGGUUGCGUUAUGUGCUUCUGUGUUGGUCCAUCUACAGUGUUGGUCCAUGGAUGUGAGUUGUGAUUUGGUGGUCCAUUUUAAUAUUGCAAGUGGUUCAUUUUGAGUCAUUGUGAUCUAUCACUACAAACUACUUUCAUGCAUGUGGCCGGCUUCUUAGAUGGAUGCUGUAAGCUGCUACAAAUUAUUGAUAAACUGUAGGGAUGAUUUGAAUAAAUACUUGAAUAAACCAGUAUCCGGUUAAGCGAUGAGUUGGUUGUUGAACCUGCCUCUCCUGUUUUCCCUACUCCUCCUCUUCAAGUUCCUUAAGAGAUGUUAGGGUUGCUUAGAUUUUGUUAGAAGUUUGAAUUAUUCUAAGUUGUUUUUAUUUCCAAGCUUUAGGGGAUUUUCUUGGCCAUCAGUUGCUGAGUUUUAGAAGCUGUAAUAAAUUAAGCAUGAUUUAAUCAGAGAAAAUCUCAGUUGCACUAUGCUUCCAUGAUUUGCCAAUAGGAUAUGUACUUGGUCUUGGUGAAUGACGAAAGUACUAGAAUCUGGUUUACUUUGAUAUAAAUUGUCAGAAAAAGCAUAAAGAACCAUAAGUGGCUCCUAGUUUGUGCCCUUGUUUUGUAGUGUGCAACAUUUUCUACUAUAGAUUAAUAUUUAUUUGUUUCUUUGAGAUUUAUAUUAAAACACAUAAAAGAUGGAGGUUGGAUGAAGUACUUUUUUGAUUUAUUGUGAGACUUUAAUUUUGUUCUGGGGAUUAUUGUGCUGUUAUGGAAUUCAUGUAACUAGGUCCAGUUGUAAGCUUUGGACCCACUAUUCGUGGGUUCAACAGAUGUAGCUUGGGUUGCGUUAUGUGCUUCUGUGUUGGUCCAUCUCCAGUGUUGGUACAUGGAUGUGAGUUGUGAUCUGGUGGUCCAUUUUAAUAUUGCAAGUGGUUCAUUUUGAGUCAUUGUGAUCUAUCACUGCAAACUACUUUCAUGCAUGUGGCCGGCUUCUUAGAUGGAUGCUGUAACCUGCUACAAAUUCUUGAUAAACUGUAGGGAUGAUUUGAAUAAGUCUCCUUAAGAGAUGUUAGGGUUGCUUAGAUUUUGUUAGAAGUUUGAAUUAUUCUAAGUUGUUUUUAUUUCCAAGCUUUAGGGGAUUUUCUUGGCUAUCAGUUGCUGAGCUUUAGAAGCUGUAAUAAAUUAGGCAUGAUUUAAUCAGAGAACAUCUUAGUUGCACUAUGAUUCCAUGAUUUGCCAAUAGGAUAUGUACUUGGUCUUGGUGAAUGAUGAAAGAAUUAGAAUCUGGUUUACUUUGGUAUAAAUUGUCAGAAAAAGCAUAAAGAACCAUAAGUGGCUCCUAGUUUGUGCCCUUGUUUUGUAGUGUGCAACAUUUUCUACUAUAGAUUAAUAUUUAUUUGUUUAUUUGAGAUUUAUAUUAAGACACAUAAAAGAUGGUGGUUGGAUGAAGUACUUUGUUGAUUUAUUGUGAGACUUUAAUUUUGUUCUGGGGAUUAUUGUGCUGUUAUGGAAUUCAUGUAACUAGGUCCAGUUGUAAGCUUUGGAUCCACUAUUUAUGGGUUCAACAGAUGUAGCAUGGGUUGCGUUAUGUGCUUCAGUGUUGGUUCAUCUACAGUGUUCAUACAUGGAUGUGAGUUGUGAUUUGGUGGUCCAUUUUAAUAUUGCAAGUGGUUCAUUUUGAGUCAUUGUGAUCUAUCACUACAAACUACUUUCAUGCAUGUGGCCGGCUUCUUAGAUGGAUGCUGUAAGCUGCUACAAAUUAUUGAUAAACUGUAGGGAAGAUUUGAAUAAGUCUCCUUAAGAGAUGUUAGGUUUGCUUAGAUUUUGUUAGAAGUUUGAAUUAUUCUAAGUUGUUUUUAUUUCCAAGCCUUAGGGGAUUUUCUUGGCUAUCAGUUACUGAGUUUUAGAAGCUGUAAUAAAUUAGGCAUGAUUUAAUCAGAGAAAAUCUUAGUUGCACUGUGAUUCCAUGAUUUGCCAAUAGGAUAUGUGCUUGGUCUUGGUGAAUGAUGAAAGAAUUAGAAUCUGGUUUACUUUGAUAUAAAUUGUCAGAAAAAGCAUAAAGAACCAUUAGUGACUCCUAGUUUGUGCCCUUGUUUUGUAGUGUGCAACAUUUUCUACUAUAGAUUAAUAUUUAUUCGUUUCUUUGGGAUUUAUAUUAAAACACAUAAAAGAUGGUGGUUGGAUGAAGUACUUUUUUGAUUUGUGAGACUUCAAUUUUGUUCUGGGGAUUAUUGUGCUGUUAUGGAAUUUAUGUAACUAGGUCCAGUUGUAAGCUUUGGACCCACUAUUCGUGGGUUCAACAGACGUAGCUUGGGUUGCGUUAUGUGCUUCUCUGUUGCUCCACCUAAGUGUUGGUCCAUGGAUGUGAGUUGUCAUUUGGUGGUCCAUUUUAAUAUUGCAAGUGGUUCAUUUUGAGUCAUUGUGAUCUAUCACUACGAACUACUUUCAUGCAUGUGGCCAGCUUCUUGAAUGGAUGCUGUAAGCUGCUACAAAUUCUUGAUAAACUGUAGGGAUGAUUUGAAUAAGUCUCCUUAAGAGAUGUUAGGUUUGCUUAGAUUUUGUUAGAAGUUUGAA
rnacentral:lncRNA from 1 species